UACGGAGGAUGCAAGCGUUAUCCGGAAUGAUUGGGCGUAAAGCGUCCGCAGGUGGCUAUGUAAGUCUGCUGUUAAAGAGUGAGGCUCAACCUCAUAAGAGCAGUGGAAACUACAUGGCUAGAGUGCGUUCGGGGCAGAGGGAAUUCCUGGUGUAGCGGUGAAAUGCGUAGAUAUCAGGAAGAACACCGGUGGCGAAAGCGCUCUGCUAGGCCGCAACUGACACUGAGGGACGAAAGCGUGGGGAGCAAACAGG
rnacentral:rRNA from 1 species